rnacentral:rRNA from 1 species
CCUACGGGUGGCAGCAGUGGGGGAUAUUGCACAAUGGGGGAAACCCUGAUGCAGCGACGCCGCGUGUGGGAAGACGGUCCUCUGGAUUGUAAACCACUGUCCCCAGGGACGAAGAUGACGGUACCUGGGGAGGAAGCUCCGGCUAACUACGUGCCAGCAGCCGCGGUAAUACGUAGGGGGCAAGCGUUAUCCGGAUUUACUGGGUGUAAAGGGAGCGUAGACGGAAAGGCAAGUCAGAAGUGAAAGCCCAAGGCUCAACCAUGGGACUGCUUUUGAAACUGUCAAACUAGAGUACGGGAGAGGUAAGAGGAAUUCCUAGUGUAGCGGUGAAAUGCGUAGAUAUUAGGAGGAACACCAGUGGCGAAGGCGUCUUACUGGACCGAAACUGACGUUGAGGCUCGAAAGCGUGGGGAACAAACAGGAUUAGAUACCCUUGUAGUC